AGACAUUUUUCCUGCCAAAGACAAAUUAAUAUGUCAUCAGGAGAGGUUUGUGACACCAAGGUCAGGUCAGUCUGGAGCAUAUAUCUUGGAGUUGUCUUUGGCAGCAAUAACAACAGCUUUGUGGAUUCCCAGCCUGGAGUUAUUCAGGCAUUCAUAUAACUGCUUAAGUUACAGAAAAGCCUUUGUUGGCACUAGCUACAGAACCUGGCACAGUUUGGAAACUAUAUUGCCCAUAUGUGCUUUCUGGGUCCCAGAUCUAUGGAAUAGAGGAAUGCUUCUGACAAAUUUCAUGGGAACAGGGAUCCUGUUUGCAGUCCCAAGGCAAAAGGGAGCCUUUGUGGCUAUAGACAAGCAAAGGCAAUCAAGUAAAACUUCUAGGGCAGAGUGGUUGUGACUAUAGGAGAACAGGACACCUGGUCACAGUACUAAGGACAAGAAAAGUUCUUCACUUGGACCUGCUGGAGAACAGGGACGCUUCCUGGAUAAAGUAUAGAGCACAGAUGAGGGGAAGAGAGAUCACACCUCUCCCCAAAUCACACCAUCUUAUUUCAACUAGAGAGUUCUCAGUAUUCAGAAUGCACAGAAUAUCCCAUGCAAGAUUCUGCAUGAAGAGUGGGGUUGAAAGACCUUCAGCCACAGGAGAAACAUAAAGUAAAAUCAGUGAUCAAUCAGGUGUUCUUCAGCCACCAGAGUCAACCUGGAGAUUGGAAAAAGAAUUGUCACUUCAUGUAUAAGAGCUGGAGAAUUAACAUGUUGUCCAGGACUCUCUCCACUGAACAAGACCAUCCUGUAGAAGAAAGGAAGGAAGGUUGGAAGGAAGGAAGGUUGGAAGGAAGGAAGGAAGGAAGGAAGGAAGGAAGGAAGGAAGGAAGGAAGGAAGGAAGAGAGGGAGGGAAGAAUGGAAGGAGGGAAAGGGACGGGAGAGAUAAAAAUCUCCUGAGAUAGUUGUUUGUUUUGUUUGUUAUUAGAAUAGGAAAAAAAAGCCUAAAAAGAGACUCUCAGAUUAUUCCCUUCCCUUUCAAUAUAAGGAAAGGGAAGGGGGAAAAUUAAAUGAUUUUUCCAAGAUGAAACCGUUAAUGUGUCCUGACAGUUAAUAUAGGUUCCUUUCAAUAUGAUGCAUUACUUCUAUAAUAUACUAUUUUACUUUGUUUAUUUUAAAC
rnacentral:lncRNA from 1 species